UAUGUGAUCGUCUCUCGCAUAUCAAUAAGCGGAGGAAAAGAAACUAACAAGGAUUCCCCUAGUAACGGCGAGUGAAGCGGGAAGAGCUCAAAUUUGAAAUCUUAAAGGGUUUCCCUUUACGAAUUGUAGUUUAAAGAAGUGUUUUCUGUUGAGGUUUUGGUAAAAGUUCUUUGGAAUAGGACAUCAUAGAGGGUGAGAAUCCCGUAUUUGACCUUUACUUUCAACUUUGUGAUACACUUUCAAAGAGUCGGAUUGUUUGGGAAUGCAGUCCAAAAUGGGUGGUAAAUUUCAUCUAAAGCUAAAUAUUGGCGAGAGACCGAUAGCGAACAAGUACCGUGAGGGAAAGAUGAAAAGAACUUUGAAAAGAGAGUUAAACAGUACGUGAAAUUGUCAAAAGGGAAGCGUUUGACACCAGUGUUGUUUUUCUGAAAAUCAAUUAAAGAACUGUUUAUGCUAAGCUGUUUAGACUUUAUCAGCUAUCUGUUUAGUUUUGAGCUUCUCUUUAAUGCACUUUUCAGUUAACAAGUCAACAUCAAUUUCUUUUGCUGUAAAAAAGCUUGAGGAAGGUGGCUUGAGAUUCGUCUUAAGUGUUUAUAGCCUCUUGCCUAUGCAGUCGGAGAGAUUGAGGUCUGCAGCGUAGAUCCUUCGGGGCUAAAUGCAUUUGUGCUAAGUUAUAGCAUUUUAUAGACAACUUGUUGACUAUGAUUUGUCUUGUAGCUUACUCGCUUAUGUUAUUUUACCUACGCUUAGGAUGUUGAAGACUCUACAGAGAUA
rnacentral:rRNA from 1 species